rnacentral:sRNA from 1 species
CGAAAUGAUUAUAUACCUAUGCCGUCGAAUUGCGUCGAACACACCGCCGGCAAAGUGCAUAAAAGCACGCGUCGGGACAUGUCUCAUGAAAUUGACUCGACAUCUACCUCAUACGCUGAGUACUCGUCCUAGAUGCUGGUAUCGCUCCUUAUUUUCUCAUUGGAAGAGUACACUGUCGCCGUUCAUAUCCUGCUCAUGCUCGCCCAGGUGAUCUUUGCAUCGGAUACUGGUGGAUAGAAGUUGUCUAUGAGUAGCUUCUCGUCUUGAGUCAAGGCAACGGGAAAGACGACAUCAGGGGACGGUCGAAGAGUCUGAGAGGGGGAUUGAUUUCACGCUGUCCGCUCUAGAAGAGCAUGUCGAACGAGAUCCCCGGAACGGACACAUUGCCGAUUAGUUCAAACGACCGAUGAAGGGCUGGCGGGUGCUGUCAUGAUGCUCAGUGUCGAUUGCGUUUACACAUCUGACUAUCCUUUCUUAUGGCGAGCACUUGGAUGUUUCGCAACCUAACAUAUCAGAUGGCACCUUUAUCACGUACAUAUAAGCCGCUCGGGGAUGGGAUGGUCCGUCCAUUGCAACCUUGCGGAGCGUCUGUUUGAUCACAGAUUUGAUUGGAACAGCGGUCCUGCCUCAAUUGAAGCAGCGAUAGGUUUAGAGAUGGUGGGAGCAUGGUCAAUCUGGUUCGCACUUCAAAUCUCGCUUGAAAACUUGUCCAAUUCGUCCUCAAGUGUGUCUACCCUCUCGAGUUCAGCAUUGACCUGGUCUAUUUCAAGUGAACCGGCCAUGAUUAGUUGGGUUGCAAUGGGCUUUAUUGCUUGCUAUCUUCGGGGAAGGAAAACCUGUUGGAAUGUAGCGGAAAGUGAUCCAACUGGGGAUGAUUGGCGAAGAGGUUUUAGCGAGGUUUCAGGUCCCGAGGCACGGAGAGGAAGUUUUUCCAUAGACAUUUUAUACAUAUAUAUUAAAUGCUCCGUUCCUUCUUUCUUUCCUCAUGCAACGUAGAAACCUAUUCGUGACAAAACCAUCGCCUAACGGAGGAUACUACGCGGCGGGAAACUUCUGGGGACGAGUGGCGAUUCGAUCCGAAGGGGAAGAGAUGGCAAGAACUUGAUGUUCAAGGGAUUAUGGAGGGUUUUGACUGAUUCGGCAGCGAUGCAGUGGAUGGCGCGCAAGCGGCGGUCGGGGGCGGUACUUCAGCUGACAACGAGAGAUUGGGCUGUGGCUGGAUUCUGAAGGUCAAGUGUUUAAUGAAAGCGAAG